AACGCUAGCUACAGGCUUAACACAUGCAAGUCGAGGGGAAACGAUAUUGGAAGCUUGCUUCCGAUAGGCGUCGACCGGCGCACGGGUGAGUAACGCGUAUCCAACCUGCCCACCACUUGGGAAUAACCUUGCGAAAGUAAGACUAAUACCCAAUGAUAUCUCUAGAAGACAUCUGAAGGAGAUUAAAGAUUUAUCGGUGAUGGAUGGGGAUGCGUCUGAUUAGCUUGUUGGCGGGGUAACGGCCCACCAAGGCGACGAUCAGUAGGGGUUCUGAGAGGAAGGUCCCCCACAUUGGAACUGAGACACGGUCCAAACUCCUACGGGAGGCAGCAGCGAGGAAUAUUGGUCAAUGGGCGAGAGCCUGAACCAGCCAAGUAGCGUGCAGGAUGACGGCCCUAUGGGUUGUAAACUGCUUUUAUAAGGGAAUAAAGUGAGUCUCGUGAGACUUUUUGCAUGUACCUUAUGAAUAAGGACCGGCUAAUUCCGUGCCAGCAGCCGCGGUAAUACGGAAGGUCCGGGCGUUAUCCGGAUUUAUUGGGUUUAAAGGGAGCGUAGGCCGGAGAUUAAGCGUGUUGUGAAAUGUAGAUGCUCAACAUCUGCACUGCAGCGCGAACUGGUUUCCUUGAGUACGCACAAAGUGGGCGGAAUUCGUGGUGUAGCGGUGAAAUGCUUAGAUAUCACGAAGAACUCCGAUUG
rnacentral:rRNA from 1 species